rnacentral:rRNA from 1 species
UACGGGAGGCAGCAGUGGGGGAAUAUUGCACAAUGGGCGAAAGCCUGAUGCAGCUAUGCCGCGUGUAUGAAGAAGGCCUUAGGGUUGUAAAGUACUUUCAUCGGGGAGGAAAAAAACAAAACUAAUAAUUUUAUUUCUUGACGUUACCCGAAAAAGAAGCACCGGCUAACUCCGUGCCAGCAGCCGCGGUAAUACGGAGGGUGCUAGCGUUAAUCAGAAUUACUGGGCGUAAAGAGCACGUAGGUGGUUUUUUUAAAGUCAGAUGUGAAAUCCCUGGGCUUUAACCUAGGAACUGCAUUUUGAAACUGAAAUACUAGAGUAUCGUAGAGGAAGGUAGAAUUCUAGGUGUAGCGGUGAAAUGCGUAGAUAUCUGGAGGAAUACCUGUGGCGAAAGCGGCCUCCUAAAUGAAUACUGACACUGAGGUGCGAAAGCGUGGGGAGCAAACAGGGAUUAGAUACC